UGAACCCAGGUCCUUGCAUACUGUAAAAUGAGUGCUUAAUCAGGUGCGCCAUUGCCUGGCCCCUUAACGAAGCUUUCUUGGUCAGUGCAGUUUUUUAACUUCUCUGAGUUGGACUGUGAAUACUAGUAUUAAGAUAGACAUAGAGCUAUUUUAUUUCAAAACUGAAUUUAGAAUACAGUCAACUGCUUGAUAAUUGAGGUCAUUUCAUUCUCCAAAUAUGUGCUAACAUAGCCUUUUCUUAAUCUUUUGAAGUAUUGACUAUGACUAAUCUAUAAGGGCCCAUAGUUUUAGAAUUACUACUGGCUUAAAAUUUGGAAUUAAAUUAGACAUACUUGAAAAAAAUGGCUCUGGAGAUAUGAAAUGAAAAUGUUGUUUGUGUGCCUGAAAGUAAUUCUGGACAGAAAGCUUGAAGAAUUUGACUUACUGCUUCUGUGUCCCAAGAUGGUUGAAUGCAAGUUGAGGAAGGAAGUACUUUGACCCAAUAUUUUUGACUUGCCACUCAUAUAUAGUAUCCACCCUUUCUUUAGAGUACUGUGGACAGGUCCUCUGAUUAAUGACUCUGCCUCCUGUUAGAUACUAAGAGUUUGAUGGUGAUCCAAACUAGAAAAAGGAGUUUCUAAUCUAGUCAACUUGACAUAUAUUAAUCAUAUGGUGAAUCACUAUAUGUGACAUCAUACUUGUUGUAGGUGCUACAGAAGAAACAUAAAGGAGCAUUUAAUAAGGAGUUCAUUACUCUUAUUUGGGGGUGAAGAAAUGACCUCUCUGAGAAGCUGUAUUGGAGCUGGGACUAGAGGAUAAGUGAGAGCCCAGUACAAAAAGUUUCCAACAAUUACUGAUCAUGUGAAAUGAGAAGUACUAUAUUCUUUCCAUCCAUCUCCACUACAGAAGCAAAGAAAAAUGAAAAGAGGCAAGACUGAUGGCCCAUCUUGGAUGGAGGUUGAAGAAAUCAUAUGAAGUGAAAUAAGUCAAAAACAGAAGGAUGAAUAUGGGAUAAUCUCAUUCACAGGCAGAAGUUGAAAAACAAGAUCAGAAGAGAAAAUACUAAGCAGAACCUGGACUGGAGUUGGUGUAUUGCACCAAAGUAAAAGACUGUGAGGUGGGUGGGUGUGGGUGUGAGGGGAGAGUUCAGGUCCUGGAACAAGAUAGCAGAGGACCUAGUGGGGAUUGUAUUGUUAUGUGGAAAACUGAGAAAUGUUAUGCAUGUACAAACUAUUGUAUUUACUGUCGACUGUAAAACAUUCAUCCCUCAAUAAAGAAAUAAUAAUAAAAAGCAAUCCAAAGAGACAGGGAACAUAGCAGGCAAUAUUAAAGUGUUAAUGAGGGCUUGGGCAAUGUGGCUUUUACAUUGUGCUAAUUAAAAAUAACUGUAUGGUCCUAGAAAUAGAAAAAGAAACAUUUUUCAGUCAAUUGUUGAGACAUGUUUGAUGAGAUUUUUUAUAACUGAAACAACAUUGGCACAUAUACUGACAUAAGAAUUUACUUUGGCAAAUGUAAAUAUUGAGAAUCUGACAUGUAUAUUUGCAAAUAUAAAUUAAAUUAUAGAAGUAGAAUAUAGUAUUUGAAGAAAAAUGUCUCACUAAUAUUAUCGAAACUUGUGUGAUACUCUAUAUUGAGGAAAAGGACUGUACUAAGAAAUCUAUAAUUAAAAGAAGCAGGGGAAUACUAAAGUACAAAAAUCACUGCAGACUGGGAGAUGGUAGAAUAUUUCAUGGGAGAAGAAAAUGCUUUAGUAGGCCUUGAUUUAUUAGGCUCCAAAUGUGGGAAAAUGUCUAGAGAGUCUUUAGAGGAGCACCUGAUUUGAGAUCAGCAUAAAAUGUAUAUUAAGUGAAACUUGAACAGUUUAAAAAAGUUAAAUCAUACUGUAUUAUUUCAUCUUAAAGAGUCUGUACCUAAAAGGGUAGUCAAUGGUCAGUGUUCCUGCUAUAACAUAUUAAGAGUUUGGUUGUUGAUUUUGGCAGUUAUAUUGACAAUAUUCUUAAGUGAAAUGAAAUAUAUAUACAUAUAUAUAUGAAAUAAAACAUUCAUGUGAAAAAUAUUUAUGCAGAAAAUUUGAUUGUGUUUGUAAGUAGUAUAAAGUAUGUGCAUUUUGCACAUGAGGCAUAUUUACUUAGAAUUAAUAUAUUAUUGCAUGAAUCCGUCUGUAAUCUUCGAGGGGAUAUGUUCUAAGGCCUUUUUUAUAGUGGAUAUUUAAAGCCCUAAAUAGGCCUAAAUAAGUAUAUAUAUAUAUUUGGUAUAUAUGUGCUUAGGAUGGACUUUAUAUGUUUACUAGGAAUUUAAGAACAAUAUUUAAUAAUAAAAUAAAACUGAUUUAAUACUAAA